GGGGGUGUAGCUCAGUGAGAGUGUGUGUUUAGCAUGCAGCAGGCCCUGGGUUCAAUUCCCGGCACCACCC
rnacentral:tRNA from 1 species